AGGGGUGUGGCUCAGGGGUAGAGCAUCUGCCUUGAAUGCAGAAGGUCCCAGGUUCAAUCCCCGGCAUCUCCA